AGUGAACGCUGGCGGUAGGCCUAACACAUGCAAGUCGAACGGACGCACAAUAAGAGUUUGCUCCUAAGGGUGGCGAGUGGCGGAUGGGUGAGGCAUAGAUAAGCAUCCACUUUUUCGGGGGGGAUUACGUAGGGACACAUAUGAUAAUACCGCAUAUGACCUACGGGUGAAAGCAGUAGAUAUUCGGAGUUUUCCCGAUUGAUUGAGCCGAUGUCGGAUUAGCUAGUUGGCGGGGUAAAGGCACACCAAGGCGACGAUACGUAGCUGGUCUGAGAGGAUGAUCAGCCACACUGGAACUGAGACACGGUCCAGACUCCUACGGGAGGCAGCAGUGGGGAAUAUUGGACAAUGGGCGCAAGCCUGAUCGAGCCAUGCCGCGUGGGUGAAGAAGGCCUUCGGAUUGUAAAGCCCUUUUGUUGGGAAAGAAAAGCAGCAGAUUAAUACCCCGCUGUUCUGACGGUACCCAAAGAAUAAGCACCGGCUAACUUCGUG
rnacentral:rRNA from 1 species